rfam:Salmo salar isolate Sally breed double haploid chromosome ssa05, whole genome shotgun sequence.
UCCCAUGUGGCUCAGUUGGUAGAGCAUGGUGUUUGCAAUGCCAGGGUUGUGGGUUUGAUUCCCACGGGGGAC